GUAACUUGUCCAAGGUCGUACGUUCAGAACUAUGAGCCGCGUGUGUCUGACACUCAGUCUUCUGCAUUUCCUACUUGUUGUUCCUCUUGGGAAACUGAGGGCUUUCCACUGUGCUCUGAACUCUGUGCGUACGUGGUUCCCUUGGCUCUGGCUGGAGUGUCAUAGACCCUGCCGUGGAGGAGGUGCAUUGUUUGAAGAAUUCUGCCAGAAACAAUUGUGAAAACAGAACGCAGCCAAAGAUGGAAAGAAGCUAUCCAUUGCUCUGGAAUUCUCCAUCUGUCCUACUGGGCCCCAAGAUAAGACUGAGGAAUUCCUUCAUGUGAAGUCACCAGGCUUUGAAAACCUUGCAGACAGUACCUGUGGGGAUGUUCUUACCUUUGCAUGUGGCCUCUAGGACCUUGUGUACCGAACAAGCUCCCUGCACCCCUAGUCCUGGUCCAGUGCCACUGAAGAUCCUGGGGACCACCAUCCUGAUUUGGCGAGCGGUUCUAGGCUAAAGAGAGAGAACGUAACUUAGGACUACAGCCCCUCACCCAUCAAGUGCCAAGCGUCAAAUGUAAUGAAGAUGAAAGUGUGCCAUUGUCUCUGUUCUUAGCUCCAGGGUCUUGUCUCAGAGACUUCCACUGAGGGAGGAGCAGAUCGUAGAACAGAGAUCUACAUAUGUCUCUGAAAAGACACAGAUUGCAACAAAGUGUGAAGGAGGUUAGGUCUAAGAAUUCUCAAAAAAGCAGUGAAGUUUGCAGUGAAGGAUAGUUUGGAUGAAAGAUUUUUGAAGACAGUGGUCAAACUACAGAUCAACAAGUUUUCCAGGGAGAAAUAGGGAGAUAACUAGGAAGCACCUCCAAGGUCAGAAAAAAUCUGAGACGCUAACCUCAGCAUCUAUUUCUUCAAAGGAAGUGUAUUUUGAUUGGAGCAAUCUGUGAUGCAAUUUAUACAUCAUUGUUGAAAAUAGGUAGAGUGAUUAGCAGGGCUUCACAGCUAGUUAUGGUCAAGGAAGAAGAAAAUCAAAGGAAGUACAUUCACCCUUUGUCAAGGAAUGAGACUACAGACAUUCCCUAGACUGUGACUCUUGGAGACAACUUCACAAGUUUCACUGCGUGGAGCAAAACGGACUUCACAGGCAGACAUUAAAUAAAUGCAUGGCACAAGUGCCUGCUAGUCAACUGCCAGGUCGUAAGUUCAAUCCUCAGUACCCAGGAAAUAAAAAUAAAAACAAGUACUAGAUAAACGCACAGCCAUUUAACAAUUACACAUCCAAGGAAUGGCACAGAGUUGCUGUGAUUCUGACCUACAGUGUUCACUUCUCAACAAACAACAACAACAACAAAAUUAUAAGAGAUGUGAAGAAGCCAAAAGUAUGGCCUCUGUAUUGCAGUGAGAGAAAAGACCACAGAAUUCUUAGCUUUAACAAAAGCGUUAAAUUGGACAUUACAUAUGUUUUUCAGAGAAUUAAAGGAAAUCAUAAUUAAAGAUAUAAAGAAAGUUAUGAUGACAAUGUCACAUCAAGUAGCUAAUAUUGGUAAAGAUAGAAAUUAUGAAAAAAGAAAGAAAAACUGAUUUGAAAAGUAUUACAAAAGAAAUUCAUUUUUCAUUCUGCUCAACAGUGAAUCAAAUUGCGAGAAGAAAGAAUGAGUGAACUGGAAGAUAGAUCAAUAGAGACUAUUCAACCUAAAAAUACAGAAAGAAGAAUGAGAAAAAAAAAGACCCUCAGAGAAAUGUGAAACAUUAUUAAACACACAAAUAUAUACAUAAUAGGGGUAUCAAAGAGAAGAAAAUCUUAACAUAUUCAGUCAGCUCAAUAAACUAUAAACAGGAGAAAUAUAAAGAGAUUCACAAAUAGGUACAUCAUAAUAAAAAUACUGAAAGUCUAGACCAAGGAGAAACUAUAUAUUUGGUACUAGAACUGAGCUACAUUCUCAGCUUUAUUUAUUUAUUUAUUGAGAUAAGCUCUUGCUAAGUUCCCAAGUUACCUCAUCUAGGCUUGAGUUUGUGAUCUUCCUGCUUCAUGUACUCCCAUAUCUGUAUAAGGAGAAAAUCUUGAAAGCAGCGAAAGAAAAAUGACCCAAAACUUAUAAGGGAACCACCCUGGUAAGAUUGACGGCUGACUUUCCAUGGAAAGCGAUGGAGGCCACAGGUGGUGGGAUAAUGUGUUCAAAGUACAGUACUAAAAAGAAUCUGUCGAUCAAGAAUCUUUCAUCCACCAAAGUUAUCUUCCAAAAGUAGAGACAAAAUAAAGAUAUUCCUAGAUAAACAGAAGUUGAAAGUAUUUGUUGCAAGCAAACCUACUUGAUAAGAAAUACUAAAGGAAGUUCUUCAGAGGAAAACAUGUAAUUUACCCCCAGAUAAUAACCUGAAUGCACAUACAAAAGCAUCAGCAAAUGGAGUUAUGCAAUUAUAAAAACAAUAUAAAUGCACACCACUACUUUCUUCUCUUACCUGAGUUAGAAAGUAAUUGCAUAUAUAAAUACAUACAUAUAUAUGUAUAUAUAUAUAUAGCCAACAACUGUACAAAAAUAGUACUUCAGUGAGGCUGUACUGAACUAAGGAAAUGGUAACUUGAAUCCAGAGGGACAAACAAAGGAAACCAGAAAUAAUAAAAAGGAAGUGUGAUAUAACAACAGCUUUAAAUAUAUACUGUAUUUGCCAUCCUUUCCUUUCUUACUUUUAAAAAAGAAUAUAAAAUUAUAAAAUGUAAUAGCAAUACACUAUUGGGUCUGUAACAUUUAUGCAUACAACAUAUAAAAUUAAUAAUCCAAAAAGGAAAUAGAGAAAUAUAUGAGAAACACUUCUAUAUCUCACCGGAAUUAAGUUAAUAGGAACCUGAGGCUGAUUUUGGUAAGAUAUAUAUAGUGAGCCCUAGAGUAGCCAUUAAGGAAAUAACUCAAAAAUAUAUAGUGGAAAAAAUUGUUAAAGAAAUGAAAAUGCUUCCUAUAGUUAGUCAGAGAUUUAUUGCAAGGCAUUGGUUUAAGUGAUGGUGGAGUUGGCUGGGCCAGUACAGAAUCCACAGAGCCCGCCAUCAGGAGGGGAGGGCUGGACACUCUCCAGCAGGACCUGGCAUGCAGUUCGCAGGUGCAAUCUCUCCCUCCCGAGGGAAAGCUCAGCUUAACAUUUACUGCCUUCCACCUGAGUGAAGCCACCAAGAUGACGGACAAUAAUGUGCUUUACUUCAGGUUAACUGAUUGUCGAUGUUAAUCACAGCUACCAAACACCUUCACAGAGACCCUUAGAUUAAUAUUCAAUUAACUAAUUGGGAACUUGAGCCUAGCCAAGUGGACACAUAACACUGACCAUUCUCUGAAUAAACUUCUUUUGCCUACCUUUUUUUACCUCAGGGCUAGAUUUUUGGGGUAACCCGAACUAAGAUUCAUUAACUCCUCCUACAACACCUUUUCUUACGUGGCUCUGCAUACGGUAUGCCAUGUUUCUGACAAAGGGGACAAAGCUUGUUUUGAACCCAAAUACUGUCCUGAACAGCCCAUGUUCUUAAAAGCCUGUGGAUUCUUUGGUUUUCUUGUCCGGAACCUUAUACAUUUGGAGAUUGUGUCAGUUCUCUCUUGGAUGCUGUUUGCUCAUGCGAGGCCAAGUUUGACACAUUAUUUUGGCCGCCACAGCCCCUGGAUCCAUAGCUGGUGUUUUCUGUCAUCACCUCUGCUAAGCGUCCCAGGAUCCAAAUAAAUAGAGUCUCCCCUGAGUAGUAUUACAGCUCUCCGAAGAAGGUAUUCAUGAGAAGGUUCCUGAUUUAACAUUUUCCCGCCAUUUCCCCUGAGCCUAACAUGAAUAUUUUCACUACAAGGCCUAACUCAGGACAGAAAAAGAGCAGAUAAACAUUGCCAUAUGUUUUUUAGCCUUGCAGAGUAGUUUUAGUGAAGCGAUACUACUCUAAAAGCUUCAUUUGAGAAUCUCUUAUCAUUUAUAGCUAUUAAAAAUAGAAGAAGGCACUUGGCUUGUGGGCUGGUCUAUCCAUUCCCUCUAUGACUUUCAUUAUUUCCAUUGGAAAAAUGCAUCAGGGCCUUAUAUAGUUUGAGGAGUGUGUGUAGGGCUGGGACCAGGAGCCAGUAAAAUAUUGGUUAUGUUUAUUUAUAAUAACAAGAGAGACCAGUUAUCAGUGCAGCACCCUGGGCAUGUGCUGAGUGGCUUGCAUGCUGAAUCUCAAACUUAUCAAGGAGCUACAGUGUUUAAUCCCACUCCCAAGAUAAAGAAGUAGAGGCCUGGCAGGCUGAACAAGUGGCACAUGGUCUCACAGAUUUGACCUGUCUCCCUAAGAAUCUGGGGUUCAUUCGUUUAGCUCCUGUACCACAAUGCUACAUCUAAUUAGUUUCUAUUGCCCCCUCAAACUAGAGCAGACAAUAUAAAACUUGUUUACUAGCAGUUUUUGGUUCAGAUUUUCUAGAGGAACAGAAUCAAUAGAAAAAAUAUGUAUAAUUAUAAAGGGGAUUUAUUAGGCAGGCUUACAGCACCAGAGGCGCAAGCAUUCACUAUAGCUGUCUGCAGGAUAAGAGUCUGCAAAAUCCACAAUGGCUACCUGUGCACUGGAGAGCUGGAAACCCAGUAGCUGAUCAGUCUGAGAAGCUGGAAGUUGUAGAAUCUGAAGAGAGAUCAAGGAUACAGCACCAGUCUGAGGUUGAAGGCCUGGAAGCUUCUUGGAGGGUCCCUGGUGUGAAUCUACAUUGGAAGGCAGAAGACACUGGAGUCUGAUAUCUGCAGCAGCAGCAAAAGAUGCACUCAUUCCAGUAGAAUGGAGCUUCCAAAACACAUGGGCCAACUUUCUUCUUCUUUCCUUUGUAUUUCAUCUAGGAUCUAAGCCUAUUGGAUGGUGCCAACGACAGCUGGGGUGGGGCUUCUCCCAUCAGUUGGCUAGCCUGCAUGCCAGUCAUCUCCGGAAAUAUCCCACAGUGUGCUUAACUACUCUGCCAGGCAUUUCCUAACACAGUCAAGUUGACAUAUGAUUAAUGGUCACCUCCCUACUAUGCACAGAGGUGGCCUUGUUUGAAUGUAAGCAGCUCAGAGCUGGCAUUUAAAGUCAUUGUUGCUUUUACCUAGGUUCAAAUGAAAGAGAGUAAGAUUUGGAAGGACCAGUUAAAAUGAGAAUCUGUGUUCCCACUGGGAAACAAUGUUUCUGUUUCCCUGUCAUUUGCCAUAUAACCUUUGUGACAUGGAAACCACGUCACUUAAGACAGGAACUUAUUCUCCUACAAUUCAUUAAAUGAUUAAUUUUCUUCAUAUUAACUUAAAAUGAGCCCAUUUAAAAGAGUACUUUUUUUCCUUGAAAGCAUUGCUCAUUAUGCUAUCAUUUUAAGUAAUUAAAUCAGAAUAAAUGGCUCUGUGAAGCUAUUUUAAUGUAACAUCUAAUUAUAUCUGACCUAGACUGUGAACUAUAAUCAUUAAGUACAUGAACUGUGUAAUGUUCUGCACAUUCCUUAAUAAUUUAUAUUGCAGAAUUCAGCUGUGUGGAGCUGUAAGCAUCUUCUAAGACACCUGUUAUCUGCCUUGGAUUGCAGAGAUGACCUGUCUGUCAGUGGACUUCCCAACUCAGCACCCUCCCCAUGUGAAGCACUUAGCGUGAGGCUAGCACGUAGCAGCUGACAAUAAUUGGUAGUUCUUGUUAUUGUAAAUAGAGAUAACCAAAGUCUGGAAGGGCUCAAUUCCCAGAGGAGGACGAACUGUGUUUGUUUCUAUUUUUGAUGCACAUUAAUUAUUUCAACAAGGAACUCAGAACAAUUCAGUGAGGUGGGUAGCACUGACACACUUCUGGCAGUGGAAGUAUUUUCUGAAUCUGACGUACACUGGCUUCGAUGGGGUGGAUGCCUCCCCCGAGGGGCUCAUUCUGCAGCUCAGAAGGUGUUUGGACCACCAGAGUGGCUUUCAGGCUGUUCUUGGAAGGCCCCUCUAUGUUUGCAGUUGCAUUCACAUUUCAAAGUCUCCAACUUGGCCAUGGGAAUGUGUUUUUGGCCCAGGCUCAAGAGGAGACCUCUCCAAAACCAGGAGGGCUGUUGCAAACCAAAUUUGUGAAGACACGUCAGUGUGACAGUGUUUGUUUUUGAAUCUGUGAGCAAGGAAUUAAAAAAAUAUUCCAUUACAGUUACUAAAACCAGUCAAGUUUGGACCUUUUUCUCUCUUCUUCUUUUGCAUAUACCAUCCUUCUGGAAUUUCAUAAUCAUUUUUUAAAAAUUUAUAAACAUGUACGCUUUGGGAAAUAAGAUGUUUGCUUCCAUUGCCUCCUUUUGGAGGAGAGUAGAAAAUAAAAGAUUUUGGUUUCUAAAAUGAAAGUACAAGUCAACCAUCUGUUCCCUGCCAGUCUGAAAAAUUCUGGGAACUGCAAAGUUUUUCAUUACUUGUUUGUUGUUAAAACCUGCCCUGACCUCCUAUCAUUGCCCACUAAGCCUGACCUCCCGUGAUGCUACGGGCUUCUGCACUUGUGUGCAUACUCACAUGUCCCAGAGCAGCAGUGUUAAUGCAUUGGACUAUUGGCUGCUGCCUUAGAGUCACUAAGAUGUCACACUGUACUCUGCAUGUUCUCCUCCCUUUCUAAAAUCGGAAAGGUUCUGAUUUUCCUAACACCUCUGAGCCACGGGAUUUUGAUGGAAGAUGUGGACUUGGAAUAAAGAUUAUAUUAAUAACA